rnacentral:rRNA from 1 species
AGUGAACGCUGGCGGUAGGCCUAACACAUGCAAGUCGAACGGCAGCACAGUAAGAGCUUGCUCUUACGGGUGGCGAGUGGCGGACGGGUGAGGAAUACAUCGGAAUCUACUUUUUCGUGGGGGAUAACGUAGGGAAACUUACGCUAAUACCGCAUACGACCUACGGGUGAAAGCAGGGGAUCUUCGGACCUUGCGCGAUUGAAUGAGCCGAUGUCGGAUUAGCUAGUUGGCGGGGUAAAGGCCCACCAAGGCGACGAUCCGUAGCUGGUCUGAGAGGAUGAUCAGCCACACUGGAACUGAGACACGGCCCAGACUCCUACGGGAGGCAGCAGUGGGGAAUAUUGGACAAUGGGCGAAAGCCUGAUCCAGCCAUACCGCGUGGGUGAAGAAGGCCUUCGGGUUGUAAAGCCCUUUUGUUGGGAAAGAAAAGCAGCAGUUUAAUCCCCCGCUGUUCUGACGGUACCCAAAGAAUAAGCACCGGCUAACUUCGUG